GCUACUGCUGUAGCUCGUCCAUUUCGUUUUCUAUAUCACCGAAGAAGGUUGGGAAAUGCUGCUCAUAGAGAGGAUGAAUAGAAUUAUUGAAUUAAACGUUUAUAAUAAAGCGGAUAAAUGUGAACCGAAGUAAAUACCGGUAUCGUACUGUACAGCGAAAAUUCCGUGUGGCAGCAGCCAUGUGCACGUGUUCCUAUGGUGGUGGCAGCAAAAGUAAGAAAAAAUGGAAACCAAAGGAAAUGCCGGUAUAGAACAUAUAAAGGCGAUGUACAAUACAAAUUACGUGUGGCGGCAACCGAAUACACGUGUUCCUUUACUGAUGGCUGCCAAAGUUAGUUGCAAUAACCGCGUGGGCUAAAAUGGAGACGCGUAAGAUCGAACCACGAAAAAAUAAAAUGGGCCUGUGUUUAUCGACGAAUCAAUGGUGCCGAGCAAUCCUUAGGCAUGUAGGAAACACCGACUAUAAUUAAGAUUGUACCACGUAUGAAGAAAAUGUGCUUCUUGGACCGUACAAGUCAGCAAUUAUAAAAGCUUCUAUGCAAAUCUCUUGAGAAUGCACCCAAAGAUGGUUUUCAAUUUUAAGCUUUCCGUAUACAAAAUGAUUAUUUGUCCAAAAUGGUGACAAAGGCUACUUGAAUAAUGCUGAGACGAUAAGGGAUUCUUAUAAAAUAGUUGUUCUAAAAGGUGAAAUAUUUGAUGCUGGACAAAGUCAUUUCCUGCUAUAAUCAAGAAACUUUGGCUUGGAAAUGGAUUCAUCUGCGUUCUUCACCUUUUCACUGCCAUUAAAGGUGAGCAAAGGGAAAUGCUCUGAUUUCUUAUACCCUUCACUGGAAGAUAAAACUGGAUAUUAUUUCGAUUAUCGUGGUGCUUGUGAAUUGUGAAUUCCUUCCGUAAGACGCAUAUCGUUCCAAAACCACCGUAUUCACUCCGUGUGACUUCUGCCUGCCUAUUCAAUACACCAGUCCAGAAAAAAAAUGUUCGAGCUCCUUUGAGGAUUGACAAAAGCUUUGUAUGCAUUGCAUUGAUUAAAUAAAGAUUUUGAAAGUUAAAACCAA